rnacentral:rRNA from 1 species
UACGUACGAGGCGAGCGUUAUCCGGAAUUACUGGGCGUAAAGCGCGCGCAGGCGGAUGUUUAAGUAGGGCGUGAAAUCUCCCGGCCUAACUGGGAGGGGUCGCUCUAGACUGGGCGUCUUGAGGACAGCAGAGGUGGGUGGAACUCCAGGUGGAGUGGUGAAAUGCGUAGAUAUCUGGAAGAACACCAAUGGCGAAGGCACCAUCCUGGGAAGCAUCUGACGCUCAGGUGCGAAAGCUAGGGGAGCGAACGGG